UCAAGACAGUUCUCUGCCAACAUGCAUAUUUACUCUUCUGUGUCAGGUGCCAGGAGCAGGCCAGAGCAGAUGCUGAAUGCCAACAGACAAAGAGCGUUUCCGUGGCAGAGCUGGAUCAAGGUCAGAAUAGUCUGUUUCCUGGAGGCAUCGCGGGACUGCAGAAUCAAGAAGGUGAAGAAAAUAUGCAGAGGGUCCAAGGGAAGAGAAACCCCCAGGGCUCUGCAGGGACACCCCCUCCAUGUAGGGGCCGGAAGAGAGGUCACCGUGACACUUCCUUCCUAGUAGUGCUCUAGAGGAGUUUGGCAAAUGGAAAAAUUGGUUGGUCACCCAAUGCUUUCCUGAUUUAGACUUGACUGGUUUAAAGAAUGAGUGAUUCUCCCCAACA